rnacentral:rRNA from 1 species
UACGGGGGGGGGCAAGCGUUUGUUCGGAAUUACUGGGCGUAAAGGGCUCGUAGGCGGCCAACUAAGUCAGACGUGAAAUCCCUCGGCUUAACCGGGGAACUGCGUCUGAUACUGGAUGGCUUGAGGUUGGGAGAGGGAUGCGGAAUUCCAGGUGUAGCGGUGAAAUGCGUAGAUAUCUGGAGGAACACCGGUGGCGAAGGCGGCAUCCUGGACCAAUUCUGACGCUGAGGAGCGAAAGCCAGGGGAGCAAAACGGGG